rnacentral:lncRNA from 1 species
AUGUUAUUAGGUUGAAAAAAAUUCAAGGUAAGAAGAAAAAAAAUAAAGAAGACAGAGAAUUAGCUCUUGAGCAAUAUAUGUCAGAUAAUCAAAGAUUAGAUACGACUGAUGGUAUGGAUACUGCUAUUACUCGUGAGCCCAACUUGUUAAACAUGGAAGGCGAUGACGAAGAUAUUCUUUUUAACUAAAAGAUUGUUAGUUUUUUAUAUAUUAAUUUGUAAUUGCAUUUAAAUCUUAUAAGAAUAGAAUUAUCUUUACGAAUUGUUAUAUAUUUAAAACGAUACACAAGCCACCAAACAACACCAUCGAACCAGUCGACGUUAAUUUUUAUUUUAUUUUCUCUUAAAAUUGAUUUGUAUCAACUAUUAAAAUAAAGCUCAUAAAUCAAUUAUUAGUUAA